rnacentral:rRNA from 1 species
GACGAACGCUGGCGGCGUGCUUAACACAUGCAAGUCGAACGGAAAGGCCCUGCUUUUGUGGGGUGCUCGAGUGGCGAACGGGUGAGUAACACGUGAGUAACCUGCCCUUGACUUUGGGAUAACUUCAGGAAACUGGGGCUAAUACCGGAUAGGAGCUCCUGCUGCAUGGUGGAGGGUGGAAAGUUUCGGCGGUUGGGGAUGGACUCGCGGCUUAUCAGCUUGUUGGUGGGGUAGUGGCUUACCAAGGCUUUGACGGGUAGCCGGCCUGAGAGGGUGACCGGCCACAUUGGGACUGAGAUGCGGCCCAGACUCCUACGGGAGGCAGCAGUGGGGAAUAUUGCACAAUGGGCGGAAGCCUGAUGAAGCAACGCCGCGUGCGGGAUGACGGCCUUCGGGUUGUAACCCGCUUUCGCCUGUGACGAAGCGUGAGUGACGGUAAUGGGUAAAGAAGCACCGGCUAACUACGUG